AUUGAACGCUGGCGGCAUGCUUUACACAUGCAAGUCGAACGGCAGCGCGGGCUUCGGCCUGGCGGCGAGUGGCGAACGGGUGAGUAAUACAUCGGAACGUGCCCAGUAGUGGGGGAUAGCUCGGCGAAAGCCGGAUUAAUACCGCAUACGACCUGAGGGUGAAAGCGGGGGAUCUUCGGACCUCGCGCUAUUGGAGCGGCCGAUGGCAGAUCAGCUAGUUGGUGGGGUAGAGGCCUACCAAGGCGACGAUCUGUAGCUGGUCUGAGAGGACGACCAGCCACACUGGGACUGAGACACGGCCCAGACUCCUACGGGAGGCAGCAGUGGGGAAUUUUGGACAAUGGGCGAAAGCCUGAUCCAGCAAUGCCGCGUGUGUGAUGAAGGCCUUCGGGUUGUAAAGCACUUUUGGCGGGAACGAAAAGGACUGUGCCAAUACCACGGUUCGAUGACGGUACCCGCAGAAUAAGCACCGGCUAACUACGUG
rnacentral:rRNA from 1 species